AAGGGAAGAGGUCCUGGAGUGUCCCCUUCCAGGAAUACCUGCCGUCACCUACCUUCCUCCCAUCAGGCACCAGCUCCUAAAAGAUCCGCUGCCUCUCUGAGAGCUACAGGCUUUGGGACACAUUGCAAACCACAGCACAAAACAAAACCCGUUUGGAAGUACUUUGAAUUUAUACCCACUUCUAACAUGAAGGGAAGCAUAAGUGGGCUCCCCUCUAGGCCUUGCUGUUAUUGACUUACUCUAUGGUAGAACUACAGGAGCCACGCACUAUAAUUGAUAUGAUGAUUUAAGGAAAAGCACACCAUAGAAGGCUGAGCACCAGGAAGUGUUCAUCUGUCUCAGCCUCAGUGGAUGCUCCAUUGUGUUCCAUGCAGGGCGUUUCCUGAACCGUGAUACUCUUACCUCAUUGCCCGUGUGCUGUGCACAUUGAUCGACGUUCCUUCCCUUUCCCAACGUUCAAAUCUGGGGGAGAGAGGGAAGGAAGACCAUGCCUGGAGAAAAUCCCACGGUGGUAAAUACAGAUGGCUCACUCAGACACUGACGGACGUGCUGGAUGCUGACAGACAUGGUGACAUGCUCUGUAAUGAUCCUCAGCCAGUCACAGGUUCUUUAUUUCUUUCUGUCUCUCUCUCAAAAAAAAAACAAAACCAAACAAAAAGCAAACCAAAGAAGGAGGAGGAGGAGCAGGAAGAGGAGGAGGAAGAGGAAGAAGAAGAAGAGGAGGAGGAGGAAGAGGAGGAAGAAGAAAAUAAAAACAAACUAGCUAAAAACAAACUCUCCAAAACCAAGAAGAUAAAAACAAAACAAAAAGCACAAAAAAAAAAAAAAAAA
rnacentral:lncRNA from 1 species